UGAGGAGUGAUGAUUUCAUCACGACCUGACAUGUCCUUCGUUUCCAGUAAGGAAAACAAACAAAACCUCACAGUUUUGAAAAUAUAGCCCAGACAUGCUGAACGCUCAUAAAAGGGCAGAGAGACCAUGGAUGGAACAGAAAAAAUAGCUUAAAAUGUCAUCAGAAGCUGUUAUGAUCUUUGAGAACACAAGCCUCAGUCUUGAGCAGAAGAUAAGGAGCAGAAUGACCUUGCAUCCUCCAGCCAUAUACCUGAUGUUAACAGUCGAGGAACCCAAGGCCAACCCAAGGACUGUAUCGUGGUGUGCAUAGACCAAUAGGCAUCCAAUUGAUCAAGCUCAGUGAUGCUCUUGGGAAGAGAGACGACACUGCAGAGAUCCCAUUCAUCAGCUUUAGCAGUUGGGAAAGGAUGGGAGAACAGCUCAUCACAGAGCUCUGCAUCCUGCACCAUGCUCACGUCUGCUGGGAUGCUCUCACUUCAGAGAUGGGUUUUGAAGAGUCAGCGGAGAGCAAAUGAGGUGAUGCCACAUCCUUGCCAGAAGUUAACCGGCCCUGACGCUGCUCACCCCAGUGCUGAGAGGCACCACGAGCUUCAAUGGUGAGUUUGCAUGCAGCCCUGUGGGUCCCCAGCUGCCGACAUUCAGUUUUCAGCCCAGGAUUUCCCAACCAUGCUAAAGGUAUUGCUGGCAAGAGCUGUGUUGCUCAAUGACCGUGCUUUCCAUGCAAGGCUGAUUUCAUAGCUUCAUAGGUCAUAGCAUAGGAUGGUUUGGGUUGAAAGAGGACUCUAAAUACCGCUUAGUUCACUUGCUGUUUGCAUGGUUGUCUCCCAUAGGCCUGCCUUCCAAAGCCCCUCCAGGGAUGGGGCACCCAUGCUUCCCUGAGCAGCAGUGCCAGGGCCCCACAGUACAGCAUUUCCUCAUUAUUUGUGCUAACCCAACCACAUGCAUCCAGAGAUACCAUGACAGGCAGGGAAAUGGAGCCCCAGACCCCUUUUGGAGCCCCAAGCUCAUCACUCGCUGUUUUAAUUGAGAUGCUAAAGCCAAGCUAAGAUGCUGAACCUCCUUGGCUUGUGUUCGUUUCUGGUAAGUAACAACUAUUAGUAUUCAGGCCAGGGACCUCACAGCAUCAUACAGUUCAAUAUUUUCUGCCCCUGUAACAAAGGCAGGCCAUUUUGUAUGCAGAAUGCAGGAGUGCAACCUUUUGUUACGUGAGUUUCUUAAAUUUUUAUCUCAAAAAUCAAUGAAGGAAUUGGAGUCAGGAGAAAAAGAGGGAGAGCAUGAGGGAAAAUGAUGAUGAAAGAGGGGAAAAGGGGGAAAAGCACCCGAGCUCAUCCAUAUAACACUCAUAAACUCUUUAACAAUCACUGUGUAUUUUAUGCUUUGGUUUUAAAGCUUUGAAUGAGGGCUGGGGUUUUUUUUUGUCCUUUUUUUUCACCCUGCAGAAUCUAUAGAACUGCUUGUCUAUUGUAGUUGAUCUUCAUGGAGAAAGAAAUUAUUCUCCAUCCAAUUAAUCUAAUUAGAAUGUAAUCAAGUUGUAGAGAUCUGUGCAGCAGUGUGAGUGAUUAGGAAAAAUUACCUUUCUGCAAAGAGUUUAAAUUUAAUUUCAGUUCCAUAAUCUAAAGCUCAAAUAAAGGAAAGUGUAAUUUGCAGUGCACUGCUUUGUGCCAUGCCCUCCUGUUUCCUGGGUAGGAGAGCAAAUUUCAGCCGUAUUCACAACAAGCCACCCUCGCGCUUCACAGCUCAAUCCACACAGAACAGCGGUUUCCAUUUUGCAGGAGGAAAUGGGAUGAUGUUGUGCUUGGGAUCCCAUCAAAGCGUGGCCCAGAGGAGCUGCCAGCUGCUGCCGC